rnacentral:lncRNA from 1 species
UGUGCACGACUUCACGUGGUUCUGUGGUGGAGUUGUGGUGGCUGUGUUUACGGCACGUGGUGAGCGAGCAGGUAUACAAAUUCACUUCCCUGCCGCUGUCGCUUACGAGCACCUUCAAAGCUUCUGCUGAUCUGAGUUGUGCCCGUCAAGAUAUAGGCCAUCUCUGCACCUUUGACAACAAUUAGCCGCAAGUGCUGAUUGCUGCUGGUUGGCUCAGUCCAGAAACAGGCCUCACAAAUGCGAUGAGCCUAGCUGAAAGCAUCACUGCCAAAAGGGUACGCCACGCCCCUUCAAUGGUUGUUGGUCAGGUAGAGGUUGGCAUGCAGCACAGCUUGCCUCUGGCUGACAAAUCUGUUGGCUGUUCGUUGAAACCAGGGAGCGAGUCUAGGAGCGUGCAGACUACGGAGGCUGUGGAACAGUUAAGCUCCA